rnacentral:rRNA from 1 species
AGCGAACGCUGGCGGCGUGCCUAACACAUGCAAGUCGAACGUGAAAUGGGGCAACCCUGAGUAAAGUGGCGUACGGGUGAGUAACGCGUAGGUAAUCUACCCCAGAAUCUGGAAUAACCUGCCGAAAGGCGGGCUAAUACUGGAUAGAGCGACGGAAUUCGUAAUUGGAUUUUUCGGGAAAGGGAGCUCGCAAGAGCCUUCGUUUUGGGAUGAGCCUGCGUCUCAUUAGCUAGUUGGUGAGGUAAAAGCUCACCAAGGCAUUGAUGGGUAGCUGGUCUGAGAGGAUGAUCAGCCACACUGGAACUGAAACACGGUCCAGACUCCUACGGGAGGCAGCAGUGGGGAAUCUUGCGCAAUGGACGAAAGUCUGACGCAGCCACGCCGCGUGAGUGAAGAAGGCCUUCGGGUUGUAAAGCUCUGUCGCCCGGGACGAAAAUCUUUUAGGUGAAUAGCCUAGAGGACUGACGGUACCGGGAGAGGAAGCACCGGCUAACUCCGUGCCAGCAGCCGCGGUAA